UGGCGGCAGGCCUAACACAUGCAAGUCGAGCGGAAACGAGUUAUCUGAACCUUCGGGGAACGAUAACGGCGUCGAGCGGCGGACGGGUGAGUAAUGCCUAGGAAAUUGCCCUGAUGUGGGGGAUAACCAUUGGAAACGAUGGCUAAUACCGCAUAAUGCCUACGGGCCAAAGAGGGGGACCUUCGGGCCUCUCGCGUCAGGAUAUGCCUAGGUGGGAUUAGCUAGUUGGUGAGGUAAUGGCUCACCAAGGCGACGAUCCCUAGCUGGUCUGAGAGGAUGAUCAGCCACACUGGAACUGAGACACGGUCCAGACUCCUACGGGAGGCAGCAGUGGGGAAUAUUGCACAAUGGGCGCAAGCCUGAUGCAGCCAUGCCGCGUGUGUGAAGAAGGCCUUCGGGUUGUAAAGCACUUUCAGUCGUGAGGAAGGUAGUGUAGUUAAUAGCUGCAUUAUUUGACGUUAGCGACAGAAGAAGCACCGGCUAACUCCGUGCCAGCAGCCGCGGUAAUACGGAGGGUGCGAGCGUUAAUCGGAAUUACUGGGCGUAAAGCGCAUGCAGGUGGUUUGUUAAGUCAGAUGUGAAAGCCCGGGGCUCAACCUCGGAAUAGCAUUUGAAACUGGCAGACUAGAGUACUGUAGAGGGGGGUAGAAUUUCAGGUGUAGCGGUGAAAUGCGUAGAGAUCUGAAGGAAUACCGGUGGCGAAGGCGGCCCCCUGGACAGAUACUGACACUCAGAUGCGAAAGCGUGGGGAGCAAACAGGAUUAGAUACCCUGGUAGUCCACGCCGUAAACGAUGUCUACUUGGAGGUUGUGGCCUUGAGCCGUGGCUUUCGGAGCUAACGCGUUAAGUAGACCGCCUGGGGAGUACGGUCGCAAGAUUAAAACUCAAAUGAAUUGACGGGGGCCCGCACAAGCGGUGGAGCAUGUGGUUUAAUUCGAUGCAACGCGAAGAACCUUACCUACUCUUGACAUCCAGAGAACUUUCCAGAGAUGGAUUGGUGCCUUCGGGAACUCUGAGACAGGUGCUGCAUGGCUGUCGUCAGCUCGUGUUGUGAAAUGUUGGGUUAAGUCCCGCAACGAGCGCAACCCUUAUCCUUGUUUGCCAGCGAGUAAUGUCGGGAACUCCAGGGAGACUGCCGGUGAUAAACCGGAGGAAGGUGGGGACGACGUCAAGUCAUCAUGGCCCUUACGAGUAGGGCUACACACGUGCUACAAUGGCGCAUACAGAGGGCAGCAAGCUAGCGAUAGUGAGCGAAUCCCAAAAAGUGCGUCGUAGUCCGGAUUGGAGUCUGCAACUCGACUCCAUGAAGUCGGAAUCGCUAGUAAUCGUGGAUCAGAAUGCCACGGUGAAUACGUUCCCGGGCCUUGUACACACCGCCCGUCACACCAUGGGAGUGGGCUGCAAAAGAAGUAGGUAGUUUAACCUUCGGGAGGACGCU
rnacentral:rRNA from 1 species